AUGCAUACGCUCUGGCAGGGCACGCACUAGUUCUUAGUAAGUUCUAGACAAACUUACAUAAGACAUUACUUAUCGGAGCUGCGGCUUACUGGCGAGCUCACAUAUAGGUCGGUAUGUGGCUUGAGCUCAUUGAUGAAGGGCCAGAACAGCACGUAGAUUUUCUGAAUCAUUCUUGUAUUGGCUAAAUUCUCGUUGGCACGCUUCUACAAUAUUUUUCAAAAACGUUUUGUAAUUUUAACAAUUUUUAUUACGCUUCUGUAGUACUUUGCGGUUAACUGAACAACUCUCAUGAAUAAAUUGCGUGAAGUGUCACUCUCGAAAUGAAUGUACUACGAGUCGAUUGACAAACGAAAUUAAGCAAUGCUAAUGAAAUUGAAAAUUUUAAUAAUAUUCUGUUAUGGUCAAAGUGAUAUUUAGACAUACCAAUUUUAUCAAAGAUGCAACUGGAGAGCUACCAGCAAAUGUAAAUAUCAGGCAGAAGUACGAGGGACCUAGAUCUUAGAGACUAAAAUACGACUAAGUUCGUGGGGUAAGGCAGGAGAGUUCUACGCCUUCAUUUACUAGUAGCUGAAUCCCAUUACACAUUAUGAUACUCAAAUAAAAUAUUAUCAUUUCUUUAUUUAUUCUGUAUACUUGCCAUCAUUCUUGUUUUAUUCUUAUUUUGUAAAUGAGUGACUUGACUCACUCGACAAAACAAUAUUAUUUACAUACUAUACAUUCACAUUCAUAAUAGACAUAACAGACAAUAUAUAAUAUUAAUUUCACAAUCACCUAGUAAAAACCAAACAAAUAUUGAAAACAAGAACAUUCUAGACCCAUCUGCCUAUAUAAUUGGCACGUCGAGUAUUUUAAUGUGCGCAUUGAAACUCCAGUAGGAGCUAUUGAAUACAACGUUCUUAACAUACAUGUUUCAAGUAUCUUUCACUAAUAUUUCAGAGUUAUAGAUCGUUUACCUAAUAAAACUGUUUCUAAUCGAAAACAUGAGAACUUUGCCGUCUUCUACCAGACCACAAGGCUUACAAAUAACUGUUCUUUUUGAAUGUAAGAAGUGUAAAUUCAGGAAUUACUGAAAUCUACAGAGAAGGUAACCUAACUAAAUUAUCAUAUUUGGUAUAGUGAUUUUCAAAUGGGUUUGAAUACAGACGAAUAUAUAAUAGAAUCAAUUAGAAAUCAAGAUUUUCAAAAUUGCACAUUUGUAAUAUUUUAUUUUAUUUUUUAGCACGUGUUGCAUGGAAACAAAGUAUAAUAAAGAUGUACGAUCUAGUAGUCGACCUUGCAAGACAAGCAGCUGUCCUUCAUAGGCACUAUAAAUAUUGAACUUUGUAUAUGCAACAGAGGGCAGUGCUUUCCUUGUCCUCCACGGUAGAUAACAAAUUCUUUACUAUACUUUUACUAUACUAUAACAUACAACUUAAGGCAAGAUCGACACGGAGUUCGACAACAUCCACACGAUGACGGAAGAACAGACUGACAUGAUAACUUACUACUACAGUACAUAGGAAACAUUCGACUGUUAUAUAAAUUUGCGCAACGUUAUUCAAUUACCGUAGUAUGUUAACUAAAUAGACUAAUUUUAUUUGUAUAUUGACUAUAACUAGUGAUCUUCUAUGUGCGUUGAAAGUAAUAUUCCACCGUUCGAUGCCUGAUGUGUAUAAUAAAUAGCCCUCGCAUCCUACACCUCAUCGUCGCUAGUUUGAGGGCACAAGACCUGCUCCUGCCACCAAUCGUGGACCUCAUAGACCGCGUUUGCCUGAUUAUUGAACGGCAGCAGUUUGCCACUGCCUCCAAUUAGCUGGCUCAUCAUGGCCGAGGAACUACUGAGGACGCCAUGAUGAUGCGGAUGUUGAUGCUGAUGCUGAUGGUGAUCCCCAUAGCCAUGUAGAGCGGCGGUGGCAGCCACCGUUUGAUUGAUGAUCGGAUAGUGAAACUGGCCAAUUUCACUGAAAAUCGUCGAUGACUUGUUCGUAUCGCGCUGUUUGCCCAGCUGUCCCAGUUGUGCCACAUGUGGCAAUGUGGUCAUCGAGUUCUUCUUCCGCUGUUGACUGCUUAUAUGCAAUCGCUCCUUAUCGCUCAACGUCGAACGCUGCUGCGGAUCACUUGAAGUGGGUGCCAAAAACUUACGUCCCGCCGAGCUGCCGGUGGAAUCACUUCGGUUGAGGGCAUAGCUCCGCUUGCCACCCACCGCCAUUACGUGACGCACCCCGGUGGCGUGGACAUCGGAAUGGGUUAAGACAAUCGCGGCACUGCUAUUGGCAUCCUUCUCAUCGUUCUCUGUUGAGCUCAAAGUGGGCGAGAAGGCAUCGCUGGUGGGCGGACAGGUGCCAGCAACCGCACCACUUAUUGUACUAAUCGCUGAUUUGUCCAGCACUCCGCUGGGUGCCAAAUCCUCUUGUACGUUCGGUCGCAUCACCGACUGUUCGUUCGUGGCACGCAGACCGGCAAUCAAUGAGUUUUGUUGCUUCUAAAGAAAAUACAAACACAAUAUUAUGAAUGCAUAGUUUGGGUGCAAAUUGAAUUACAACUUACACUGGCGUUUUGUGCACGUAUCUUUUUGAGGCAGCCUUCCAGCCAGGUACGUAUAGUCAUUUUAGCUACUUCCUCCUCCACCAAGUAUUCGAAUUCCUCACGAGCCAGCAACUCCUCUAGCUGUAAUGCUUUUCGAAUGUCCACCGAUCGAUACGAAAGCAUGCUGAAAAUCCAUAAUGAAUUGAAUGAUAUGUAUGUACAAUAUAAAAUAGUAUUUAUGCGACCUACUUGAUAACAUCGUGGAAUGUUACAUCCUCGCCAUUAUGCAGCUUGUCCAGUUCAUAGCACAUGUACUUGAAUAACAACCGAUCCUUUUGCGGAUCACACUCGAGGCGACCUUUCAAGAGUCGCAAAAUGAACUUCACCCGGCGCACAGGAAUAACACCCCGCUGAUGAAUGUCGACAAUGUUCCAGGUGUUUUGAAAGUUACGUAUGUCUGCAUAGGACAACAAGGCAUCCUCUUCAUUUGAGUAGAAUAAUGAAAAGUUCUCCAUGAUAAUAGCUGCAAAUAAGAUUAAAAAUUAUUGAAUGUACGACUCGUACUAUAUAGAACAGUUGGCUGGUGUUACUGACCCACAAGUAGAUUGAGUACAAUGUACGUGAUGAUCACGUAAAAUGUGCAAAAAUAUAUCAAGCUUGCUGUGAAAUUGCCGCAAUCGGUUUCCCAGUAAUUUCCACCAAGCGUACAAUAUGGUGGCUGAACCAUACAAUCGUGCAUGAUUUUAUUCCAAUCCUCGCCGGUAACGAUCCGAAAUAACAUUGCGACGCCAGUCACCGGGGAUCCAAAGUUCGCUCGUCGACCAAUACCUUCUCCAUACUUUACAGUACC